rnacentral:rRNA from 1 species
UACGUAGGGGGCAAGCGUUAUCCGGAUUUACUGGGUGUAAAGGGAGCGUAGACGGCGGUGCAAGCCAGAUGUGAAAGCCCGGGGCUCAACCCCGGGACUGCAUUUGGAACUGUGCUGCUAGAGUGUCGGAGAGGCAGGCGGAAUUCCUAGUGUAGCGGUGAAAUGCGUAGAUAUUAGGAGGAACACCAGUGGCGAAGGCGGCUUACUGGACGGCAACUGACGCUGAGGCUCGAAAGCGUGGGGAGCAAACAGG